ensembl:lncRNA
AGGCUCCACAAGUCACCUUUGGGUUAAUUGUCAAUGGCAUUCAAAGAAAUCUGGCUAUAUGCUUAUAAAAUGUUGAAAUAUAUACACACAAAAGUAGAAUUGUUCAUGAACAUAACUUAGCAUGCAGUUAUGUGAAACCAAUAAUCCUCCCGAACACGAUAAUGGAAAGCCAACAGAAAAUCCAUCAAUUACAAUUUGAGUGAACCAGGAUGCACUCCUAAAUUGUUGGAAGGACUUGUUUUAUGCUUCUUGAGACCCCAGUGUAUAGAAAUGAAAAGGAAAAGAUGAAAAAGAAGAGUUAGAUAAAAUCUGGGACACUGCUUAUUCUAAGCAUCCCUUUAAAAGCUCACAAGAUCACAGCUACAUCGCAUCUCCUUUGAAUUUUGCUUACAACGUGGUCAUGUGCAACUGAUGUGAGACAAUCCAUUUCCGUCAUCUUCCCUGGAAAUCUCUACCUCAGGAUGCACAACUAAUAGGUCUGUUUUGAGGAGUUCUGUGGCUCCCAGACAACCGGGUUAAUGGAUCGUUUCUUGCUUCCCCACUUGGAGGAGGACUGGGCAGAGCUACUUGGCACAAAGAGCCCUUUUCCUGUGGCCUGCCUGUCGCUGCUGUGUAUGAGGCCAGAAGUUUCAAGUAGACUCAGCCAGGCUCUCCUUGGAGACUCGUGAGGCUAAGUUCAAGUGGACUCUCACAGAACCUUCCAGAAAAGGAAACAAGAACAACGUGGGUUGGAACACUUCAGCUGUAGGUGAACAUGGUGUGUUCUGUAGGAUCUGAAUGAUGCUGGCCACCACACACUAGACUUAAAAAUGGAGUAUGAAGCAAGACCUUGGAAUAGCCAAUGUAUUAUGUGGGAAUCUUGGAGGAGAACCACAAUAAGGCUGCUUUAUUUGCAUGCCAAACUAGAUCAUCUUAGUUGAGAAUGAUUGACUAUAAAUCUGAAGUAGAGAUAGGGGUGACUUAUUCCUAAGAACAUGAGGCCUAAGGAUUUAAUUUAGGGUAUUAGGCCAAUGACGUUGCUGCUAAUGCUUUUCUGGAUAUGAAUUAGCUGUGACUGUUUUCUUUCUUCAUAUGUUCUAAAAAAUAAACCUUCAUCAUAUAGAGUGAACCAAAGUUGCCUCUGUUCCUUGCUCUGUGUAGUACUAAGGAAAAAUGUACCAUAUUCUUGGUAUAUUUGGUGGGACCUUAGAGAAUUCUAUAAAAAAAUUAUAAGCAUUUUUUUAUCAUCUGUAAACAGUAAGAGAGAAGAUGGCUGACCAGAAUUGGUGUUUGUUAGUAUAAUACUUUCCAUGUAAUACUUUUAACAAUUAAGAGAUCUUAGAGUGAUGUGAACAUUAAUUUCUUUAGAGGAAGAAACUUUCUAAAUUUAAUCAAAGUCUUUCUUUAUAGGAUAUCAUAAAUCAUGCUCACAAGUUAGUAGAGACCACUUCCUGAGAACAGCGCUCAUCCAGAUCCCCCACCUCCUCCAUAGCACAGCCUUAGCUGGUGCCACAUCAUCACACUGAGUAUCAUGAACAACUGUGUUUCAUUUUCAGCCAGCUGGAGGCAUAUGCAACAAAUUCAAAACUUAACCUGGCCAGGUGAUGCCUUCCCUGGGUUUCUCCAUUGGAAGUCAUCUCCUUCUCCAUUCCAGUAGCAGCAGACUACUGGAGGGGGGAUGUUGGCAGGAGAAUGCAGACUGCUCUGUGAUGAGCAGAGUAGAAACCAGGAACAAGGAGCUUAAGUCACUGGGGAAGAACAGCUUUUGCAAAGUCCGGAGCUGCCUCUGUGGGUACCACUUCCUACUCUUAGUUUUUGGCACCAGUUGUGUCUACUGAUAUGGAUGCCAGACUUGAAAGAUGUUUGUUAUUGUGUGAAAUUGAGGGUCAGGUUUUAUUAAUUUGUUACUUUCCAAGAAAGAAUUACUUGUUCAGAAACUAAAUUAGGGUGCAGUGACCAAUAUCUGGCUUUAGGGUUACUUAGAAGGCACCAUGACUUGUUGGCUGGUUUGUGAGUUGUGUGUGUGUGUGUGUGUGUGUGUGUGUGUGUGUGUGUGUGUGUGUGUGUGAGUGUGUGUGUGUGUGUGUGUGUUCUCUUGUUGUCUACUGUCAACUCCUAUCCUCCUGUGUCAUCUUUUCCUAAAAACAUGAGACUUAGUCAUACUCAAGACAAACGCAUAACUGCUUCAUACCUCUCUCCUCCCUUCCCCCUUUAUGAAAUGCUGGGGAUAGAACUUGCGACCUUUUAUACAUGUGAAGCAAGUGCUUUGCCACUGAACUACAUGCCCGUCCUUCCCCUACAUACUUAUAAACCCACAAAAUUACAUAAGUCGAUUGCAGGUCCUUUUAUAAAUAGCCUGGAUGAGAUGAUGAACCAGUUCACCAUUUGUGACACGAAGCGUCUUGUUCUCCAGAGGACUCCUGCAAUAGCUGAACAAAGUCACCAGCUCUUCAGCGUGCAUUUCUGGGAUGGCAUGCAAAUACAGACAGCACAGAGCCCAGAGUGUGGCAUUUGGACUCACUCUUGGCUCUGGGCCAGCUCUCAUCCCCAUAUGACUUGACAAAAUGGGACCCAGCAUAAAAGGCAUAGAUGGACCAGAGAGAUCUUCCACCUCCUCAACGUUUCAUGGAACCUGUCAUUUUCCUCAGGCUGCACAAACAGAAAGAAUCUUUUUCCUCCAGACUCAAAUUGAGCAGAACGGCAGAGCAGAUGGUGCUGGUCAGUUAAGUAACAGCAGAACACAGGGAACAACUUGUUUUCAAAAACAAAUGGCCCUUCUUGGAAGGUACAAUCUAAUAGGGCUGUCAAAACUCAAACUCGGAGAAUUUCUCUCUAAGCAACAGCCUGCAAGCCAUUUCCCUAAGCUGGGCUGCAAGGGAUUCAGGGAUCUCUCUCUUCUGUUUUUCUUUAUGCUGAGGGCAGUAUGGCUCACAGAAGGCAGGGGAUAAUGAAUAAUGAUGAUCAGUCCAAGCAGAUCAAUGUUAUUGCAUGUUUCUGUUUCCAUAGUUCCCACACCUUGACUCACACAGUUUCCUCAAUCAAGUGCAAAGAAGCCAGAGAAUUCAUACUCAUUUUUCUGUUAAAAAAAAAAAGGUCAAAAAAGUUUGACACUUUGCUGAGGUGAAGUUGUAAUAAGCACGAUGUUUAAGGUUGUCUAUUUAUUGUUCAUUUAUUCAUCUGAGUGUGCAUGUAUGCUUCGUUCAUGGUGUGUGUUGGGCCUGGAGACCAUGCAGUGAACCAGUGCAUCAUAUCCUUUGCUUACAAGGAGACUCUAGUUUAGCAGAUGGGGACAAAGGAAUAGCUAAUGACAACAAAUACAACAGAGGUGGGUAAGAACAUAGGACUAUUUAAUGUAGCCUGUAAGCAGUGAGGGCAAUAGCUAUGGAAAAGAAUAGGUCCCUGGCCCAGUGAGAUAGCUUAAUGAUAAAUACACUUCCUACCAAUCCUGAAAGCCUGGGUUAGAUCUAUGGGACCCUUAGUGUAAGUCAUCUUCCUCCCCUUGCAUUUGCUAUGGCAUGCAUGUGCCGUAUCCCACAAUAAAGUUAAUUUUAAUAGCUUUUGUUGUUGUUGCUAAAAGACUAGGUUCCUCAAAAUUGUAUCUUUGUUGAGAUAAAUAUUAGUGAGAAAUUAUUGAGGUAGAAAGCUUGGGACUUGGGGGAGAGGAGAGAAAAGAAAGAAAUAUCUAGGUUCCGAAGGUAGUCUUCAUCUCUUCAGCAUGUAUUCCUAGGAUGGCAUGCCAGUCCAGACAGAACCCAGGGACUGAGUGUAAUGACUGGGGGCAUCUGGGGUUGUACAGGGCACUGAUAAUGGUUAUAGAUCUGGCAGAGAAGGUGGACAGUAGAAGCCUGAAAUCAUAGCAUCAAUAAGAUAACCUUUAGUAGAAGAGUUUGGUUGAUACGUGCUGGUAAUGAGGAAAUCUGCAACAUUUUCUUUAAGUGUAACUGAUUGGAUAAAGAGUAUCAAAACUAGAAGCGAUAGCUCUAG